GACGAACGCUGGCGGCGUGCUUAACACAUGCCAGUCGAACGGAAAGGCCUGCUUUCCCUUGUGGAUUGCGGGUACUCGAGUGGCGAACGGGUGAGUAACACGUGAGUGAUCUGCCCCCAACUUGGGUAUAAGCCUGGGAAACUGGGUCUAAUUCCCGAUAGGACUGCAGGGUGGUGCCUGUGGUGGAAAACGAUUUUCUAGUGGUUGGGGAUGAGCUCGCGGCCUAUCAGCUUGUUGGUGGGGUAAUGGCCUACCAAGGCGGCGACGGGUAGCCGGCCUGGGAGGGUGGACGGCCACAUUGGGACUGAGAUACGGCCCAGACUCCGACGGGAGGCAGCAGUGGGGAAUAUUGCACAAUGGGCGGAAGCCUGAUGCAGCGACGCCGCGUGGGGGAUGACGGCCUUCGGGUUGUAAACUCCUUUCGACCGCGAGGAAGCCACCUGGUUGGAAGGGUGGUGACGGUAGUGGUAGAAGAAGCACCGGCUAACUACGU
rnacentral:rRNA from 1 species